UAGGGAAUCUUCCGCAAUGGACGAAAGUCUGACGGAGCAACGCCGCGUGAGUGAUGAAGGUUUUCGGAUCGUAAAACUCUCUUGUUAGGGAAGAACAAGUUGGGUAGUAACUGACCCAACCUUGCCGGUACCUAACCAGAAAGCCACGGCUAACUACGUGCCAGCAGCCGCGGUAAUACGCAGGUGGCAAGCGUUGUCCGGAAUUAUUGGGCGUAAAGCGCUCGCAGGCGGUCUUUUAAGUCUGAUGUGAAAGCCCACGGCUUAACCGUGGAGGGGCAUUGGAAACUGGAGGACUGGAGUACAGAAGAGGAGAGUGGAAUUCCACGUGUAGCGGUGAAAUGCGUAGAGAUGUGGAGGAACACCAGUGGCGAAGGCGACUCUCUGGUCUGUAACUGACGCUGAGGAGCGAAAGCGUGGGUAGCGAACAGG
rnacentral:rRNA from 1 species